rnacentral:tRNA from 1 species
GGGCAAUUAGCUCAGAUGGAUAGAGCGUUAGCCUCCGGAGCUAAAGGCCGAGCGUUCGAAUCGCUCAUUGCCCACCA